GAACUUGACUCAAGUGUCUGAAAUGAACUAAACUACCCUGGAAGGCCUGGAGAAUUUAUGUCCCAGGAGGCAAGAUAUAGGAAAUGGAGCAGUCCCUGACAACCACAACUCUAUUGCCUGUCUCUAUGACGUUGACUACUCUAGGGACUUCAUAGACAGAGAGAGAGAGAAGCAGGCGCUCCACUCAGGGAGCCCAACGCAGGACUCGAUCCCGGGUCUCCAGGAUCACACCCCGGGCUGCAGGCGGCGCUAAACCGCUGAGCCACCUGGGCUGCCCAGAUUUUAAGUGUGAGAGGCAAGAACAAAUUGUCCAUGGAAGCCCUCAGGACAGCAGAGGUGUUGCAUUGGGAGACUCUUAGACACCCACUCGGGACUGCCAGACUGGUGGCCUGGAAAACAACUCUCAUUCAGAGUUUAAAAAAGGCUUAAAACACAAAUGUGAAGAAAUUGAAGCUUAACGUGAUCAACAUCUGUGCUCUGGCUUAGGAAUUAGUGUCAAAGAUGAACUUGGACAUAAAUACUCAGAUCCCAGGUUCUUGGGUAUGUGGUCAGCCCUUCCUGCCUCCAUAUCUAAGGCUAUUUCUGCUUCUGGAGCCAAACAACCAAGCUGUAAGGAGACUGCGGAUGAGGAGGUAACCAAGUGCCUGCAGCCAGUCGUGAG